UCUGGUCUUGGGACACUGUCAGGUGGGCAGUUUGACUGGGGCGGUCGCCUCCCAAAAGGUAACGGAGGCGCUCAAAGGUUCUCUCAGUACGGUCGGAAAUCGUACGUAGAGUGUAAAGGCAAAAGAGAGCUUGAUUGCAAGACAUACAGGUCGAGCAAGGCUGAAAAUCGGACUUAGUGAUCCGGUGGUUCUGCGUGGAAGGGCCAUCGCUCAACGGAUAAAAGCUACCCUGGGGAUAACAGGCUUAUCUCCCCCAAGAGUCCACAUCGACGGGGAGGUUUGGCACCUCGAUGUCGGC
rnacentral:rRNA from 1 species